GAGUUUGAUCCUGGCUCAGAGCGAACGCUGGCGGCAGGCCUAACACAUGCAAGUCGAACGAACUCUUCGGAGUUAGUGGCGGACGGGUGAGUAACACGUGGGAACGUGCCUUUUGGUUCGGAAUAACUCAGGGAAACUUGUGCUAAUACCGAAUGUGCCCUUCGGGGGAAAGAUUUAUCGCCAUUAGAGCGGCCCGCGUCUGAUUAGCUAGUUGGUGAGGUAAAGGCUCACCAAGGCGACGAUCAGUAGCUGGUCUGAGAGGAUGAUCAGCCACAUUGGGACUGAGACACGGCCCAAACUCCUACGGGAGGCAGCAGUGGGAAUCUUGCGCAAUGGCGAAAGCCUGACGCAGCCAUGCCGCGUGAAUGAUGAAGGUCUUAGGAUUGUAAAAUUCUUUCACCGGGGACGAUAGUGACGGUACCCGGAGAAGAAGCCCCGGCUAACUUCGUGCCAGCAGCCGCCGUAAU
rnacentral:rRNA from 1 species